AGCAGGUGCGAAAGCAGGUCAUAGUGAUCCGGUGGUUCUGAAUGGAAGGGCCAUCGCUCAACGGAUAAAAGGUACUCCGGGGAUAACAGGCUGAUACCGCCCAAGAGUUCAUAUCGACGGCGGUGUUUGGCACCUCGAUGUCGGCUCAUCACAUCCUGGGGCUGAAGUAGGUCCCAAGGGUAUGGCUGUUCGCCAUUUAAAGUGGUACGCGAGCUGGGUUUAGAACGUCGUGAGACAGUUCGGUCCCUAUCUGCCGUGGGCGCUGGAGAACUGAGGGGGGCUGCUCCUAGUACGAGAGGACCGGAGUGGACGCAUCACUGGUGUUCGGGUUGUCAUGCCAAUGGCACUGCCCGGUAGCUAAAUGCGGAAGAGAUAAGUGCUGAAAGCAUCUAAGCACGAAACUUGCCCCGAGAUGAGUUCUCCCUGAGACUUUAGAUCUCCUGAAGGAACGUUGAAGACGACGACGUUGAUAGGCCGGGUGUGUAAGCGCAGCGAUGCGUUGAGCUAACCGGUACUAAUGAACCGUGAGGCUUAACCUUACAACGCCGAAG
rnacentral:rRNA from 3 species